UACAGAGGGUGCAAGCGUUAAUCGGAAUUACUGGGCGUAAAGGGCUCGUAGGCGGCCAACUAAGUCAGACGUGAAAUCCCUAGGCUCAACCUAGGAACUGCGUCUGAUACUGGAUGGCUUGAAUCCGGGAGAGGGAUGCAGAAUUCCAGGUGUAGCGGUGAAAUGCGUAGAUAUCUGGAGGAAUACCGGUGGCGAAGGCGGCAUCCUGGACCGGCAUUGACGCUGAUGAGCGAAAGCUAGGGGAGCAAACGGG
rnacentral:rRNA from 1 species